rnacentral:snoRNA from 1 species
UACUCUGUUUAUAAAAAUUAUUUAUAUGCUUGUGGAAUAGAUUAAAGGGGCCAUGAUCUGAACAGGGAAUGUUUUCAGUAUCUUCCCUGUAUCUGAAAUGGCUGAGCAGAAAAAU